CAGGGCUGAGGGGAUAGGGUGUGUCUUUUAAGAGUUUGGAUCAGUAGCGCUGUGAAAACUGCAUCGGAGCUCCGGUAUUGAUCGUUCCAUCACUACUCAAGCCUAGAGAGGGAAAAAGCUGUCUUCUGGACUGCUUUGAGUUCAGCGACAGACACACCUCAGAGAACUUGGCAGAGGAACUGUUGAGAGUGGCCAGAGAAUGGCAAGUAGAUGGAAAAGUGGUCUGUUGUGUUAGCGACAAUGCAGCUAACAACCAAAGCCAUGAAAAUGUUAAAAUGGACUCAUCGUCCAUGUCUUGCCCACACAAUCAACCUGAUUGUAAGAGAUGCUCUGAAGGUGAUGAAGCCCACUGUGGACAAAGUGAAAGCAGCUGUGGAACACUUCCACAGGAGCUCAGUAGGUGCUGAAAAACUAAAGUCUACACAAUGCCAGAUGGGGAUGCCUGAGCUGAGGCCUAAACAAGACUGCACGACAAGGUGGAAUUCAACAUUUUAUAUGUUGAAGAGGUUUUUUGAGUCAAAGGAUGCCAUCAUCUCUACCCUGGCCAUUGUCAAUGCACCUGUUAAUGCUCUGACCCAAGAGCAAUGGGAGGAGGUGUGCAGUGUCCUGGAACCCUUUGAGCAGGUCACUGUGGAGAUCAGUGGAGAGAGCUAUCUGACAGCCUCAAAAAUGAUACUCCCGUGUAAGGGUCUGCAGCGAAUCCCAGCCACCAGUCAGAGAGAAGCAAAUGUAACCAGAACACAUGUGACUGAGUUGAUGGACACUUUUACAGAUACAGGUAUCCUGUGUGUAUUUGUUUUCUCUCCUUCUGCCCUAUUCACAGGUGGCAGUCAUCAGUCGCCAAUCAGAAGACACACCUGCUCCUUUUCUCUUACCCAAUCACAUCCCCUUUCCCUUGGUUGAAAAGAAACCCAAUCAGUUGUCUCUAGAGCUCUCUCUUUUGUUUUUGCGCCUACAUGUCACAUUUGUCCGUUAUUAUGUGAGUAUGUAUUGUUGUGGUGUAUGACUGUUUGUUUGUUUGUUGGUGGGAAAAGGGGAUACAAAGCCAAGUCGCCCAUGGGCAUACAUUACCCGUAGGAAAACUUUGUCUAAGUACUCUAGUUAGAACUGGGCGGACCACCCACUGUAUUUUAUUGGUUAGUUAGCUAGCUGUUCAUGAAGCAGGCUAGACUAGCUUAGGUUGUUUUUAAAAAUAUUUAUUAG
rnacentral:lncRNA from 1 species